CUGAAGGUACUAUAGGUUCAUCACUGUACUAACCAGUCACACGCUGAAGGUCCUAUAGGUUCACCACUGUACUAACCUGUCACACACUGAAGACCUAUAGGUUCACCACUGUACUAACCUGUCACACACUGAAGGCCUAUAGGUUCACCACUG